AAGUCGUAACAAGGUUUCCGUAGGUGAACCUGCGGAAGGAUCAUUACCGAGUUGAUUCGAGCUCCGGCUCGACUCUCCCACCCAAUGUGUACCUACCUCUGUUGCUUUGGCGGGCCGCGGUCCUCCGCACCGGCGCCCUUCGGGGGGCUGGCCAGCGCCCGCCAGAGGACCAUAAAACUCCAGUCAGUGAACUUUGCAGUCUGAGAAACAAGUUAAUAAACUAAAACUUUCAACAACGGAUCUCUUGGUUCUGGCAUCGAUGAAGAACGCAGCGAAAUGCGAUAAGUAAUGUGAAUUGCAGAAUUCAGUGAAUCAUCGAAUCUUUGAACGCACAUUGCGCCCCUUGGUAUUCCGAGGGGCAUGCCUGUACGAGCGUCAUUUCAACCCUCAAGCUCUGCUUGGUAUUGGGCUCCGUCCUCCACGGACGCGCCUUAAAGACCUCGGCGGUGGCGUCUUGCCUCAAGCGUAGUAGAAAACACCUCGCUUUGGAGCGCACGGCGUCGCCCGCCGGACGAACCUUUGAAUUAUUUCUCAAGGUUGACCUCGGAUCAGGUAGGGAUACCCGCUGAACUUAA
rnacentral:rRNA from 1 species